rnacentral:rRNA from 1 species
AACAGGAUUAGAUACCCUGGUAGUCCACGCUGUAAACGAUGUCGACUUGGAGGUUGUGCCCUUGAGGCGUGGCUUCCGGAGCUAACGCGUUAAGUCGACCGCCUGGGGAGUACGGCCGCAAGGUUAAAACUCAAAUGAAUUGACGGGGGCCCGCACAAGCGGUGGAGCAUGUGGUUUAAUUCGAUGCAACGCGAAGAACCUUACCUACUCUUGACAUCCAGAGAAUUUGCUAGAGAUAGCUUAGUGCCUUCGGGAACUCUGAGACAGGUGCUGCAUGGCUGUCGUCAGCUCGUGUUGUGAGAUGUUGGGUUAAGUCCCGCAACGAGCGCAACCCUUAUCCUUUGUUGCCAGCACGUAAUGGUGGGAACUCAAAGGAGACUGCCGGUGAUAAACCGGAGGAAGGUGGGGAUGACGUCAAGUCAUCAUGGCCCUUACGAGUAGGGCUACACACGUGCUACAAUGGCAUAUACAAAGAGAAGCGAACUCGCGAGAGCAAGCGGACCUCAUAAAGUAUGUCGUAGUCCGGAUUGGAGUCAGCAACUCGACUCCAUGAAGUCGGAAUCGCUAGUAAUCGUAGAUCAGAAUGCUACGGUGAAUACGUUCCCGGGCCUUGUACACACCGCCCGUCACACCAUGGGAGUGGGUUGCAAAAGAAGUAGGUAGCUUAACCUUCGGGAGGGCGCUUACCACUUUGUGAUUCAUGACUGGGGUGAAGUCGUAACAAGGUAACC